UGUCAUCAGAGGGAGGUUCAGCACCUGCUGGUUUGACCUGUGACUCCAGCUGAAGGGGCCUGGGUCGGGCAGUUACUGUCCUGCUGCUGCCUCGCCAGGGUUUACGGAGCUUUGCUCAGAUCCUUUAUGAAGAGGAUGUUGCAUUGAGGAAUUCAUGUUUCUUCCCUCAGCAGCUUGAGCUGGUCACCAGCACUGAGAC